GGAGAGAUGACCGAGAGGCCGAAGGUGCACGCUUGGAAAGCGUGUGUACUCAAACCGGGUACCGUGGGUUCGAAUCCCACUCUCUCCG
rnacentral:tRNA from 1 species